rnacentral:rRNA from 1 species
CCUACGGGUGGCUGCAGUAGGGAAUAUUCCACAAUGGGCGAAACCCUGAUGCAGCAACGCCGCGUGAGUGAAGAAGGUUUUCGGCUCGUAAACUCCUUUUGUGAGAGAAGAUAGUGAGGGUAUCUCACGAAUCAGCAUCGGAUAACUACGUGCCAGCAGCUGAGGUAAUACGGAGGGUGCAAGCGUUACGCGGAAUCACUGGGCGUAACGAGUGCGCAGGCGGGCUUGUAAGUCAGAUGUGAAAUCCUGUAGCUUAACUACAGAACUGCAUUUGAAACUAUUAGUCUAGAGUGUGGGAGAGGUAGGUGGAAUUCUAGGUGUAGGGGUAGAAUCCGUAGAUAUAAAGAGGAAUACUCAUGGCGAAGGCGACCCUCUGGAACACUACUGACGCUCAUGCACGAAAGCAUGGGUAGCAAACAGGAUUAGAUACCCUUGUAGUC